GGGCUUGUGACCGAUCAUGAACUUGAUGUCAUCGUUGAACCUGUGUACAGAGAACAGCUGUCAAACAUAAAGAGCUGAUGAGACUCACUGCACAGAGUUGUAGCUGGAGAAUGAGAUCAGUCCUCCAAACGCCAGAGAGAAGGAGUAAAACACCUGCGCUCCCGCGUCCAGCCACGUCGACGGAUUCAGCAGCUCGUCCAGCUGAACGAGACACGAUCAGUAAACAGCUGGACAGAGAAGGUGGAGGAAAGGAACAUGAGGGCUUGGAAGGCAGAUGAAAAUUGAUACCAUAUUUCCUGAAAAUAUAGCCAAGAAGAAGUAAAUGAUGAAUAGAAAAGAGCCCAAGACCGAACCGUGAGGAACACCAGAGGUGAGUUUAGAUGAUUUUGAUUGGAAUUUUUUAAGGUGAAUGAACUGAGAGUAACCA